GGAGAGAUGGCCGAGUGGAUGAAGGCGCACGCCUGGAAAGCGUGUGAACGGGAAACUGUUUCGCGAGUUCGAAUCUCGCUCUCUCCGCCA
rnacentral:tRNA from 1 species